ensembl:ncRNA C01B7.8 ncRNA
UUGAAUCCUUCAGAGACCCGACUCUCUUUUCCGUCAAGUUUAAUGUCUCUUUGUCUGCUGGCCCGGAGACACCACCAGAAUGUUGUCAACAAAGAGGAAGAGUGGAGGAAAAACGAAGAGCGGGUCGUUUUGGAGCCCUCUCUUGUGCUCCAGGGCGCUCCAGAAUCUGCGUUGAGCAUCUUGAGGAAGAAAAGAGAAGACAUGUGUGGGUGAGUGUCUCCGG